rnacentral:misc_RNA from 1 species
CGUUGGACAGUAUAAUCGUUUAAGCAUUGGAUAAAAUACUUGGUGGCAUUUCAUCUUUCAGGAAAGUUGAUAAAAUGCAAUACCAUUCAAGUACUGGAGUCGGUGUAAUUGAAUACAACCCAACCCUAAAUGUGCAGUUUUGUAUGAUGAAAAUCCGUAUCCGUCAGGUGAACCCACACAUUGUGUGUUCACUAUGUGCAGGCUAUUUCAUAGAUGCUACCACAAUCACAGAAUGCCUUCAUACAUUUUGUAAAAGCUGCAUUGUUAAGUAUCUUCAAAGUAGCAAAUGUUGUCCUCAUUGUAAUAUGAAAAUUCAUGAAACCCAGCCUUUGGCAAACUUGAGGGCUGACCGGACAUUACAGGAUAUUGUCUAUAAGUUAGUGCCUGGACUCUUUGAAAAUGAAGAGAAGAGAAGGGAAGAAUUUUAUAACUCCCGUGGCCUUGGAAAUGAAAAGAAAGAUGGAGAUGAAAAUACUCUGUUGAAACCAUCAACAAUUAUAAACCACCCUGACGGACACCAAUAUAGAUUUGAUGAACAAAUUUGUCUCUGUUUAGAGCGAUAUGGACCUCAGUCAGUUCAGAAUGGCUCCUAUCAGCUACGGCCACUUGAGAAGAAAUUUGUCCGUUGUUCUAUCCGUGUAUUAGUGUCACAGGUCAAAGGUCUUUUGCGGAAAAAACUCUCCUUGCCUGAAUAUUUGGAUUUGGAUGUAUUAUGUCAAGAGGAAAAGUUAAUGGAAGAGAUGAGCAUGAAGCAAUUGUUUCUGAUGCAUUGGUUUCAGAAGGUAUGUAACCCUUAAACCAGCUUCUUGAUAAACCAAUCAACAAAAGUUUAUAAUUACAUCACCACCAACUUUACCAUUACUUAACAAUCAUAAAUUUCAUAUAAUAUUUGUUACUUGAUCUUAAAAGUUUUCCAGUUUAGUAUUUCUAGGCAAAAUGGCUUAAAGGACUAUGCUUUGU